rnacentral:rRNA from 1 species
UCACUGUAACGCCCUGAGUGUUGCGGAUGUUUCGCAGAAGUUGACCGAACUUGAUUAUUUAGAGGAAGUAAAAGUCGUAACAAGGUUUCCGUAGGUGAACCUNCANANNGANAACNNAAGUUCUCCUUUCAAGUUAUAAACAAAAACACAAUAUAUAAAAUACUUAUAUUGUAAAAUUAUGGCAAAUGCCAAAAAGAAACAAAAUAACAAUAAUAAAAAUGUUUAUUAUUGUAUCGCCUCCUAGGCAAAAAAGUAUAGUAUAAAGUGUUUGUGUGUGUUACACAUUACACAAAAAUUGACUUAUUUAUAUAAAAUUUGUAAAAACUGAAAUUGUGUGGACGUUAUACAAAAUUAAUUUGUAUAGAAAAUGUCUAAAAAUUUGAAAUACAUAAAAUUAUAGUUGUACUUGUAUAAAAUUGAAAAGUAAUUUUUUAUAUAAGUCAAUCAUUGUUCGUUUUUUAAGAACUUGAGACAUUCGCAACAAAAAUUUUAUGUUUUAGUUAUAAAAGAGAAGAAUAAUAAGCAAAAAUUAUUGAAGGAAUUGAUAUAUGCCAAUUUGAA